ACUGAGGGAAUAACCUCUUUAAUCUGCGCUUCACUGAUUAUUUUGAGUGCAGAAGACGGUUUUAGAAUUCCUGAAGAAAGGGUAAAAUUGUUGAUAUAGGAAAACUUUCGAUGGCGAAAGCAUUUACCGAUUCUGUUCUGACGCUAGGUACUAAAGCUUGGGGAGAAAGAGGAUUAGAGACCUCGUAGUCCUUGCCUUAAACAAUGAGUGUUCAACGUCUUASAAUACUCGGAUUCACUUAAUUGAUGCGAUCCUARAGGAUUCUUGGGGGUUUAAAGCUAACGCGUGAAACACCGCCUGGGGAAUGUGGCCGCAAGGUUAAACUCCAAGGAAUUGACGGAGACUCAUACNAGGAGUGGAGCAUGUGGUUUAAUUCGAGA
rnacentral:rRNA from 1 species